GUCCCCGUAGCUCAGUCGGAUAGAGCGACCGCCUCCUAAGCGGUAGGCCACGCGUUCAAUUCGCGUCGGGGACA
rnacentral:tRNA from 1 species